ensembl:lncRNA
CUAUGAUUAUUUAGGCAUAUACAAGCUAGGUUUUCCCUCCUCUCACAGUGCUUGUUCUUGGACCCUGGAUGAUGAGGUCAGAUUUGUGAGUGACAGUCACAGGGGGUACCUGCAGCCUGGGAGCUCACCUUUUUCUCUUCCCUCAACAAAGCUGAUGGCCUAGGUUUACCCUCUGGUUUUAGUCAAGGGCUUCGGCUGUAAGUCACAGGAGCCAACUCUAGCUGCCUUAAGCAAAAAAAGGGAAUUUGGGGGAAGGGCUAUCAGGAGGCUUUGGGCUGCAAGUAGCACAAUAACAAAAGAACUUCUCUGGAGUUCCCGUCUGGCUCAGGGUUAAGAACCCAACUAGUAUGCACAAGGACAUGGGUUCAAUCCCUGGCCUCACUCAGUGGGUUAAGGAGCCUGCAUUGCCGUGAGCUGUGAUGCAGGUCACAGACAUGGCUCAGAUCUGGCAUUGCUGUCACUGAGGUGCAGGCCAGCAGCUGCAGCUCUGAUUCACCCUAGCCUGGGAACUUCCAUAUGUCACAGGUGCGAUCCUAAAAAGCAAACAAAAAACAAACAAACAAACACCAACAGGACUUCUUAUGUUACCUAGCAAGAAGUCAGGCAGCAGGUGCUCCAAGACUGGCCCAGUAGCUCAGUGAGGUCAUGUGGUACCAACAUGGAGCAAUGAGGCCCACCUCCUGGGACUCGAACCCUUGCAUAGUCCCUCCUCCUUUAAAUAGCACUGGCCAGUCUAGCCAGUAGGAGACUGCAGAAAUGACAGACAGCAUGUGACUUCAAGGCAAUGUGGUAAAAGUCACUGUGGUCGCCACCUCCUUCUGUGCCUUGGGUCACUCGCUCUGGAGGAUGCCAGCUGCUAUGGGGUGAAGUCACUCAGGAAGCUUUUGGGAGGCUCAUGUAGAGAGGAGCUGAGGCCUCUUGCCAACAGCCUGGUGAGUGAGCCAUCUUGGCAAAUGGAUCCUCCAGCUCCAAUCAGGCCUUCAAAGGACUGCAGCUCCGGACACACAGUUUAACCGCAACCUCAUGAGAGAACUCAGGCCAGGAACACUGGCUUAGCUACACUGAGCUAGGCCUUGGACUGAGUUUCCACAUCCCACCCUCACAGCACCCAUGCAGCAGGCUUUAUUAUUCCCCCAUGCUGCAGCCCAGGAAACCAGGACGUGGCUGAAAUGGGAUACAACCAAGUCCUCCCAUGGGGGUUGGGCUGGAAGAGCUGCCCCAUUUCUGCUUACCUGGAGCACUUCGGAAAUCCCCUGUUUGGACUUCCUGUUGUGGCUCCAUGGUUGAUACACCUAACUAGUAGCCAUGAGGACAUGGGUUCAAUCCCUGGCCUUGCUCAGUGGGUUAAGGAUCCGGUGUUGCCAUGAACUGUGGUGUAGAUUGCAGACAUGGCUUGGAUCCUGUGUGGCUGUGGUAUAGGCCAGCAGCUGUAGCUCCAAUUGGCCCCUUAGCCUGGGAACCUCCAUGUGUUGUGGGCAUGGCCUAAAACAAACAAAAAAAGAAACCCCCUAUUCUAGGCCACUUGCCCUUGGUCUCUUGUUCCCCAGUUCUUCCUCCACUAUGGGGCUCAGCUAAGUACCUUCCAAACCCUCCACCUCCUGGUAGGGCCAGAGGGAAUCCUUACUCUCUGGUUCACUAAACCUGUGCCUGCACAUAACCCUGCCUGUGCCAUCACUCCCCAGCUGACAAGGCACCCUCAGCCUUAUCCACAAACACAGACAGUUCCUGGGUGUCACAGGUGCACCUGCAGGCAGUACUUCCAGGAACAGCGAUGCUUUGUUAGAAACAAGGCCACCUAGGGCAUGAUGCAACACCCCCUGGGGGGGGUUCCCCUCCAAAGUGGCCCCAGGAGAGGCCCCGGCAGAGGCUAGUCCCUACAGGGCUGCUGCCGGAGACACCCACACUGUCUGGGGCCAGGUCUCUCCUGGGGAUUUAGGCUUAUGCAAUUUUUCCUCGAGUUUCAUUUCCUUUUUCUUUUUGCUCUCUAUGUUCAUUAUUAUGUCUGUGUCUAAAUGAAUAUUGUGCAGCUCCUAUGUCAGUGAACAAGAAGUAGCUAGGGAGUUCCCACUGUGGCUCAGUGGAAAAGAACCCAACUCGAACCCAUGAGGAUGAGGGUUUGAUCCUUGGCCUUGCUCAGUGGGUUAAGGAUCUGGCGUUGUCUUGAGCCACAAUGUAGGUCGCAGAUUUGGCUCGGAUCCCAUGUUGCUGUGGCUGUGGUGCAGGCCAGCAGCUAUAGCUCCGAUGUGACCCCUACCUGGGAACUUUCAUAUGCCGCGAGUACAGCCCUAAAAAGCAAAAAAAANAAAAAAAAAAAAAAAAAAAAAAGAGAGAGAAGUAGUUAAUAGUCCCCUCCCAGAAGGGGGAGGAUCAGAGCAGGACAGUGGGUUAGGCUGUCACCAUUCAUUUGAGAACCAGUGACUUUGAAACUGCUUUUAGGAAGGGGAACCAUUUUGUCAUAGGAAAUGAGAACAGGAAGCACUGAAGCCUUUGGUGAGAUGGGAGCAGAAAAUUCAGCUUAACGUCAGCCCCUCCCUGCCAGGAACAUCCCCCCGCCCCGCCGUCCCCUGCCUCCAGCUCUGUGGAGAACAGCGAGCAGUUUCAGGCCGGCCCCCUCCCCCACUU